rnacentral:rRNA from 1 species
UACGUAGGGUGCAAGCGUUGUCCGGAAUUACUGGGCGUAAAGCGCACGUAGGCGGGUUUGUAAGUAGGGGGUGAAAUCCCAGAGCUCAACUCUGGAACUGCCUUCUAAACUGCAAGCCUGGAGGUCAGGAGAGGCGAGUGGAAUACCGAGUGUAGAGGUGAAAUUCGUAGAUAUUCGGUGGAACACCAGUGGCGAAGGCGACUCGCUGGACUGAUACUGACGCUGAGGUGCGAAAGCGUGGGGAGCAAACAGG